rnacentral:misc_RNA from 1 species
CCCUUGUGGAGGAGGACGCCGAAGGUGGGGCUAAUGACUGGGGUGAAGUCGUAACAAGGUAGCCGUACCGGAAGGUGCGGCUGGAUCACCUCCUAACAGGGAGACAACAAAAUGUUUAAUUUAUAAUUUUGUCACCUUAGGUCGAUCGGUAUCUCAGGUCUUCUAUAUUUUGAAGAUUUCAGUUUCUAAGUUUUCUAGGUCACACCCAUUACUUUUCCUGGGCCAUUAGCUCAGGUGGUUAGAGCGCACCCCUGAUAAGGGUGAGGUCCCUGGUUCAAGUCCAGGAUGGCCCAUAUCUCUAUGUUGGGGGUAUAGCUCAGUUGGUAGAGCGCCUGCUUUGCAAGCAGGAUGUCAGCGGUUCGAGUCCGCUUACCUCCACUGAAUACCACCUCUUUCAAUAAAGUAGGAAAUUUUAUGGUUGUGUGCCCCUUAAUUUAUCUGAACGUAUCUAGCCUCCUAUUACCUUAAUUAAUAAGAUGCUGGACUCAUAGAAUUUCUUUAAUUCUUUGUUUUCAGAGAACCUUGACAACUGCAUAGAUUAUUUUUUAAAGACAAUAAGCAUCUAAAUGAUGCAGAUUUAUUAUUGGUGCAAAUGCAUUAAUAACAAUUCUAUUGAGCUGAUGCUUCAAUUUUUUGAAGUUAUUGGUCAAGCUACAAAGGGCUCACGGAGGAUACCUAGGCACAC